UAUUUACUUUUUGUUGAAUUUUAAGGGACCUCAAGUGAAAUAAUAAUCGGUGAAUUCAGGAUCAGCCUCCAUUCCUUGUCUAGAGUAGUGGUAUGAGCUGAAAACAUUGAUAAGUGAUCACCACAUAUUGUUGAUGUAAGGGCUACCGGUUAUUAUAAGAGGUUUUUAUGACUUCUGCUGUGGGGGGGGGGGUGCCCUUACCACCCGGCUGAGCUUCGUGGGAGCCAAGGCUGAGUCGGGUGUAUCUUUAUAUCCCCAGUUCUCGGUGGAACUUAAAAUGCUGUGAGACACCAGACAGACAGAUACUGUGAACUUGGAGCUCUCUAAUGAAGGGAUACCAAAGUCUUUGUAUUCAAUUUUUUUUUUCCUUAAAUUGUCAGCUGAAAAUGAGAGCACACCUAUUCAGCAACUCCUGGAACACUUCCUCCGCCAGCUUCAGAGAAAAGAUCCCCAUGGAUUUUUUGCUUUUCCUGUCACGGAUGCAAUUGCUCCUGGGUAUUCGAUGAUAAUAAAACACCCCAUGGAUUUUGGUACCAUGAAAGACAAAAUCGUAGCCAAUGAAUACAAGUCAGUUACGGAAUUUAAGGCAGAUUUCAAACUGAUGUGUGAUAAUGCAAUGACAUACAAUAGGCCAGAUACUGUGUACUACAAGUUGGCAAAGAAGAUCCUUCACGCAGGCUUUAAGAUGAUGAGCAAACAGGCAGCUCUUUUGGGCAAUGAAGAUACAGCUGUUGAGGAACCUGUCCCUGAAGUUGUACCAGUACAAGUAGAAACUGCCAAGAAAUCCAAAAAGCCGAGUAGAGAAGUUAUCAGCUGCAUGUUUGAGCCUGAAGGGAACGCCUGCAGCUUGACGGACAGUACCGCAGAGGAGCACGUGCUGGCGCUGGUGGAGCACGCGGCUGACGAAGCUCGGGACAGGAUCAACCGGUUCCUCCCAGGCGGCAAGGUAGUGCUCUGUGGCCACCGAGAGAGGGUGCAGCGUGGCCCCAGACUCUCCAUGUGCCUCUCCUUCUGGGUUGGUGCUGUGUGAUCCAGCACAGCCACCGGGAUCCAGAGGUCAGCGUGGGGCCCUGACGGGAGGUCUGGAUCAGACAUACAUAAGGCUGGUCUCUUCAGUCAGGGUCCGGGUACCUCUGGCAGGACUGCCGCUGGUGUUUCACGCAUCGUGGAGGCCAUGUGGUCACUGACCUCUCAUUUCCUUGAUGGAAGCCCUGCUGCAGGCUAAUCCUUUCUCUUGGAGUGAAUACUGACUUCUGUGUCUCUGUCACUGGGUGUUGACAUGAGGCACCGCCCUUGUUAUUCCAGUGGGGGCGCUGGUGUUGGAUCCGACAGAUAGUCCAUAAUAGGCCACCGACCGUGUUCACGUGGCUCCUGCCACAGAUGGUCUUUGUGGUGUUGGGGCCCACUCAGCUGACCACGCUCUCCUUUCUGGCAGGAGACGUUCUAGACCCAGUGUCUCCAGUGGAAACAGCACAGGCUGUCUGCAGUCUCAGGCUUCCUAGCAGCCCUGAUAAGAGAAGUAGAGCAAUGCAGGUGACAUUAAUCCUGGCAGAUUUCAUUUCAUCUCUAUAUCCAAUGUUUUAUCUCAACAUGUAGUCUGUAGAAAACAUGUUAGCUUAAUUUGAGCUUUAUGGGUUUUUUUCAUAUUAAGUCUUCAAAAUGCACAUGGGAUGGAAAGUAAAGAACGCUGAAGUGGGGGCAUUUCAGAGGUGUCUGCUUCUGUUUGCCUGCACCUGCUGGGAAGUUGCAGUGGUCUGCGUGGCUUGUGUGUUGGGAGGUUGUGGUCUGUUGUGGUUUUUGUGGCUUGCAUGUUGGGAGGCUGUCGUCUGUGUGGCUCACGUGUGGGGCAGUUGUCUGCUUGGCUUGUGUGUUGGGAAGUUGUGGUCUGCGUGGCUCAUGUGUUGGGAAGUUGUUUAUGUGGCUUGUGUGCUGGAGGUUGUGGUCUGCGUGGCUUGCACUGUAGUUCUUUUGGACAGCCUUGUUCUGCACUCUGUGCUUCAGCCCUGGAAUUGCCACAUUCUCCAAGAAGCCCUGGUUUCUUGACUAGAGAGCCUUGUUUAGAAGCCAGGACCUGGGUUCUGGGUGAAGCCCUCUGCAGAUAGAGCUGGGAGAUGCCUGUUGUGUGUGUCUGUACCACAUACAUGGACACUGUGCAGAAGGGUUCUGUUGGCACCUGUGUUUACAUGGGUUGAAAACUGUUUUUACAUUGAAACUUCCAGUUCCCCCCUGCCCUGUGGGUUCCCCCAACUUCUUCCCUUUCAGUUUUUUAUCUGCGCCAUGAGGACUUGACUCUUAAUCUACGUAUCAAAUCCGUGUCCCAUUGUAGCUGAUCUUCCACCUCUCCCCCAGGGCCCUGUUCAUCCUGUGGGCUCUGAUACUUCGCAUGGAUCGGCGGUGGGGAGCUGCCCCCACACAAACGUCUGGCUCUUCUCAGGCCAGGUGGCUGCCCUGACCGCAGCAUGGACAUCACCCUUGCACUGGAGCCCAGCCAACCACUGCAUGACAGCCCUCUUCCCCCUUGACCCCCAAGUCUGCACACACCAGUGCCUCCUCUUCCUGGAUCCUCCUAAUGGCCUGUACACAGAACUGGGGUGUGGGUGGUGGGUUUUUAAAUGAAAACCAGUCCACACAUGCUUGACAGCUGGAGCCGCCCGCCGUCAGGGCAGUGCCAUGCUGACCUGCCGACCAUUCCAUUUUGUCAAGGCUCAUGAGCAAUUUUAAAUGUUUACUUGUGGGUGAAGGUUUUUGUUUCAGCUGUACCCCCUAUAGCAGGGCCAUGGGGAGCCUAAGAGGUUCUCCUUGGCACCUGUGUGCGCUCUGCUGUUGCCGUGAGUCUGAAAUUCCAGGGAAUGCCGUGAGGGGCCCUCUGGUGUUUGUUCUUGGACAAAUGUGUUUUCACCCCCAUUAAGCCUUGCUUGUUGGCCUUCAUUUCAUUUGUGCUGCGCUGCCCCUCCUGAGGGACAGACGCUCAGGCAGUGCUUCCUUCCAGAUGGGCUAUCUGAAGAGGAACGGGGAUGGGAGCCUGCUCUACAGCGUGGUCAACACGGCCGAGCCGGACGCUGAUGAGGAGGAGACCCACCCAGUGGACUUGAGCUCGCUCUCCAGUAAGCUGCUCCCAGGCUUCACCACGCUGGGCUUCAAAGACGAGAGAAGAAACAAAGUCACCUUUCUCUCCAGUGCCACUACUGCGCUUUCGAUGCGGAAUAAUUCAGUAUUUGGUGACUUGAAGUCGGACGAGAUGGAGCUGCUCUAUGUAGCCUACGGAGAUGAGACAGGUGUGUAGUGUGCGCUGAGCCUGCAGGAGUUUGUGAAGGAUGCUGGGAGCUACAGCAAGAAAGUGGUGGACGACCUCCUAGACCAGAUCACAGGCGGAGACCACUCCAGGACGCUUUUCCAGCUGAAGCAGAGAAGAAAUGUUCCCAUGAAACCUCCAGAUGAAGCCAAGGUUGGGGACACCCUAGGAGACAGCAGUGGCUCUGUUCUGGAGUUCAUGUCGAUGAAGUCCUAUCCCGACGUCUCUGUGGAUAUCUCCAUGCUCAGCUCUCUGGGGAAGGUGAAGAAGGAGCUGGACCCUGACGACAGCCAUUUGAACUUGGAUGAGACGACCAAGCUCCUGCAGGACCUGCACGAAGCACAGGCGGAGCGCGGUGGCUCUCGGCCGUCGUCCAACCUCAGCUCCCUGUCCAACGCCUCCGAGAGGGACCAGCACCACCUGGGAAGCCCUUCUCGCCUGAGUGUCGGGGAGCAGCCAGACGUCACCCACGACCCCUAUGAGUUUCUUCAGUCUCCAGAGCCUGCGGCCUCCGCCAAGACCUAGCUCUAGACCACCUUCAGCUCUUUUAUUUUAUUUUUUAAGUUUUAUUUUGCACAUGUAGAGUUUUUGUCAUCAGACAAGGACUUUGAUCCUGUCCCCUUUGGCAUGCGGGAAGCAGCCCCGGGGAGGUAAUGAAUUGUCUGUGGUAUCAUGUCAGCAGAGUCUCCAAGCCCCAUGAACCCUGAGGAGUGGAGUCAUACGCGAAGGCCGUGUGGCCAGGCCGCAGAGCUGCGUGCUGUCUGUGUCCGAGCAUCACGUGUGGCUCCAGCCCUUGUUUCUGCCAGUGUAGACACCUCUGUCUGCCCCACUGUCCUGGGGUCGCUCUUGGGAGGCACAGGCAUGGGUGUGUCUGGCCUCAUUCUGUAUCAGUCCUGCGUGUUCCUGUCAUAGUUUGUGUUUCCCAGGCAGGCCAUGGUAGGGGCCUUGCAGGGGCCAGUGGGGAGCACGGGGCCAGGCUGGGGUGAGGAGAGCUCCCCUGUUUUCUGUUUAAUUGAUGAGCCUGGGAAAGGAGUGUGUUCUGCCUGCCCGUUACAGUGGAGCGUUCCGUGUCCAUAAAACGUUUUCUAACUGGG
rnacentral:sRNA from 1 species